CAGGAACUCAAAAUAUCUAAGUUAGUAGAACUUUUUUUGAAAAUUAAGUUUACUGUACUUAAUCUAUUUAAGUAUUUUGAAAGUUUGGGUUUACAGUGUAUGCAGUGCAGAUGCAGAGGUCGCUUUAAACAGGGAAAUGUAAGAAAGAGAUAUUCUUUCACUCGGGAGAUGAUGUGCUUGAAGAGUAUGAAGUCACCAAUACAUUAAGUGGGAUGAGAAGACCUUUGUUAGGACACAUACCAGAGACAAGGGACCACAAAAGGAGAUUAAAAAAUGCCCUGAACAAAGUUAUCCAUAUAAUGUCAGUAUAUGUCGUAGAUUAUUCAAAAUAUACAUUUUUUUUGUGCUUCUCAAAAGACAGGAGGUCCAAAAACGAUGACAGAAUUUUCAGUUUUGGGUGAACUGUUUUGAAUUGUAUUCUAUUGUAUUGUCUAGAUUUAAACUGACAGUCUGCCUCCCGAACAGUGUGGGAGCUAAAUAGGAAAAGGAUCUGCUGCUCACAGUUGAUUUUGAUAUUCUGGAUAUUAUCAACUCUGGCCUUGAAUCUUGUUAGUUUAAAUCUAGAUUAAAGACCCGUAAUACGUAAUACACUUCCACAUUUCUAUAAUUCAGAUCCGUUAAAGGAUUGUUAGGCUGCAUUAAUUAGGUCAGCCAAAACUGGGAACACAACCCUUAACGCAUGAUGUACUUUUUACACUAUAAGAAAGAAUGGCAUCUACGCUAAUAU